GCCCACGGCACAAGUCCCGUUUUCGGUUCUGGCCACACCUGGCUCCAUUUUCAGCCCACGGGACAGACAAACGUCACUAGAGACGAUGUUUGGCGCGCAGGUGUGUUUGCUAGCGCCCGGCCUGGCACUGCAGGGUGCUGGGGCGCAGAGAGAAACUGACAGAAACACCAACAAAAGCUUCCGAGGGCUGGACGCCCCAGUGCCUGCUCUGCUCCACUCUGGUGCCGAGGACUUCCCAGAGUUGCCAUCUUUUCCCACCUCCUGCAAGGUUCACUCCUGUUCCUAACAGAAUCUGUCAUUCACUACAAAUGGGGUCACAUCAGCCUUUUAAUACCCUGGAAAAGUUUUAGCUUGUUUCUGAAGAUCAUGCCUCACAAAAAGCAGUGGAGCACAUCUAGACACUUCUGCCAUGCGCUGUUUUCUCUAAGCAUAUGGAGGGAGCAUUCCAGGUGGUGUCCAGUCUGGAUUGGGAAGUGCUUGGGAGCAGCUGUGGCGUGGAUGGGCCGUGCCCUUGGGGAAGGCUGAGGACAUCCUUUGGGAGCAGCUCUUCUUGAGGCAGCAGAU